AGCGAACGCUGGCGGCAGGCCUAACACAUGCAAGUCGAACGAACCUUUCGGGGUUAGUGGCGGACGGGUGAGUAACACGUGGGAACGUGCCUUUAGGUUCGGAAUAACUCAGGGAAACUUGUGCUAAUACCGAAUGUGCCCUUCGGGGGAAAGAUUUAUCGCCUUUAGAGCGGCCCGCGUCUGUUUAGCUAGUUGGUUGAGGUAAUGGCUCACCAAGGCGACGAUCAGUAGCUGGUCUGAGAGGAUGAUCAGCCACAUUGGGACUGAGACACGGCCCAAACUCCUACGGGAGGCAGCAGUGGGGAAUCUUGCGCAAUGGGCGAAAGCCUGACGCAGCCAUGCCGGGUGAAUGAUGAAGGUCUUAGGAUUGUAAAAUUCUUUCACCGGGGACGAUAAUGACGGUACCCGGAGAAGAAGCCCCGGCUAACUUCGUG
rnacentral:rRNA from 1 species